GCUACAGGCUUAACACAUGCAAGUCGAGGGGCAGCAUGGUCUUAGCUUGCUAAGGCCGAUGGCGACCGGCGCACGGGUGAGUAACACGUAUCCAACCUGCCGUCUACUCUUGGACAGCCUUCUGAAAGGAAGAUUAAUACAAGAUGGCAUCAUGAGUCCGCAUGUUCACAUGAUUAAAGGUAUUCCGGUAGACGAUGGGGAUGCGUUCCAUUAGAUAGUAGGCGGGGUAACGGCCCACCUAGUCUUCGAUGGAUAGGGGUUCUGAGAGGAAGGUCCCCCACAUUGGAACUGAGACACGGUCCAAACUCCUACGGGAGGCAGCAGUGAGGAAUAUUGGUCAAUGGGCGAGAGCCUGAACCAGCCAAGUAGCGUGAAGGAUGACUGCCCUAUGGGUUGUAAACUUCUUUUAUAAAGGAAUAAAGUCGGGUAUGGAUACCCGUUUGCAUGUACUUUAUGAAUAAGGAUCGGCUAACUCCGUGCCAGCAGCCGCGGUAAUACGGAGGAUCCGAGCGUUAUCCGGAUUUAUUGGGUUUAAAGGGAGCGUAGAUGGAUGUUUAAGUCAGUUGUGAAAGUUUGCGGCUCAACCGUAAAAUUGCAGUUGAUACUGGAUAUCUUGAGUGCAGUUGAGGCAGGCGGAAUUCGUGGUGUAGCGGUGAAAUGCUUAGAUAUCACGAAGAACUCCGAUUGCGAAGGCAGCCUGCUAAGCUGCAACUGACAUUGAGGCUCGAAAGUGUGGGUAUCAAACAGGAUUAGAUACCCUGGUAGUCCACACGGUAAACGAUGAAUACUCGCUGUUUGCGAUAUACUGCAAGCGGCCAAGCGAAAGCGUUAAGUAUUCCACCUGGGGAGUACGCCGGCAACGGUGAAACUCAAAGGAAUUGACGGGGGCCCGCACAAGCGGAGGAACAUGUGGUUUAAUUCGAUGAUACGCGAGGAACCUUACCCGGGCUUAAAUUGCAGAUGAAUUACGGUGAAAGCCGUAAGCCGCAAGGCAUCUGUGAAGGUGCUGCAUGGUUGUCGUCAGCUCGUGCCGUGAGGUGUCGGCUUAAGUGCCAUAACGAGCGCAACCCUUGUUGUCAGUUACUAACAGGUUCCGCUGAGGACUCUGACAAGACUGCCAUCGUAAGAUGUGAGGAAGGUGGGGAUGACGUCAAAUCAGCACGGCCCUUACGUCCGGGGCUACACACGUGUUACAAUGGGGGGUACAGAGGGCCGCUACCACGCGAGUGGAUGCCAAUCCCCAAAACCUCUCUCAGUUCGGACUGGAGUCUGCAACCCGACUCCACGAAGCUGGAUUCGCUAGUAAUCGCGCAUCAGCCACGGCGCGGUGAAUACGUUCCCGGGCCUUGUACACAUCGCCCGUCAAGCCAUGGGAGCCGGGGGUACCUGAAGUGCGUAACCGCGAGGAGCGCCCUAGGGUAAAACUGGUGACUGGGGCUAAGUCG
rnacentral:rRNA from 1 species